rnacentral:rRNA from 1 species
UGGGGAAUAUUGGACAAUGGGCGAAAGCCUGAUCCAGCCAUGCCGCGUGUGUGAAGAAGGUCUUCGGAUUGUAAAGCACUUUAAGUUGGGAGGAAGGGCAGUAAGCGAAUACCUUGCUGUUUUGACGUUACCGACAGAAUAAGCACCGGCUAACUCUGUGCCAGCAGCCGCGGUAAUACAGAGGGUGCAAGCGUUAAUCGGAAUUACUGGGCGUAAAGCGCGCGUAGGUGGUUCGUUAAGUUGAAUGUGAAAGCCCCGGGCUCAACCUGGGAACUGCAUCCAAAACUGGCGAGCUAGAGUAGGGCAGAGGGUGGUGGAAUUUCCUGUGUGGCGGUGAAAUGCGUAGAUAUAGGAAGGAACACCAGUGGCGAAGGCGACCACCUGGGCUCAUACUGACACUGGGGUGCGAAAGCGUGGGGAGCAAACAGG